rnacentral:tRNA from 1 species
ACUAAAAUAGCUCAGUUGGUAGAGCGUUAGACUAUAAGUCGAAAUGUUCUUGGUUCGACUUCGGUUCCGGCA